rnacentral:rRNA from 1 species
UGCGGCCGCGAUUCCGGUUGAUCCUGCCGGACCCGACCGCUAUCGGGGUGGGGCUAAGCCAUGGGAGUCGUACGCCCCGGAUACCGGGGAGUGGCGGACGGCUGAGUAACACGUGGCUAACCUACCCUCAGGACGGGGAUAACUCCGGGAAACUGGAGCUAAUCCCCGAUAGGUGGUGAGGCCUGGAAGGGUCCACCACCUAAAGGGUCCUACGGGGAUGUCCGUAGGACCGCCUGAGGAUGGGGCCACGGCCCAUCAUGGUUGUUGGCGGGGUAACGGCCCGCCAAGCCGAUAACGGGUAGGGGCCGUGAGAGCGGGAGCCCCCAGAUGGGCACUGAGACAAGGGCCCAGGCCCUACGGGGCGCACCAGGCGCGAAAACUCCGCAAUGCGGGAAACCGUGACGGGGCCACCCCGAGUGCCCCGAAGAGGGGCUUUUCCCCGCUGUAAGCAGGCGGGGGAAUAAGCAGGGGGCAAGUCUGGUGUCAGCCGCCGCGGUAAUACCAGCCCUGCGAGUGGUCGGGACGUUUAUUGGGCCUAAAGCGUCCGUAGCCGGCCCGGUAAGUCCUCCCUCAAAGCCCCGGGCUCAACC